rnacentral:misc_RNA from 1 species
UGUUUAUCUCUCUAGCAGGCAUAUAUGAUUGGCAUUUGCACCAGUUAGUUAUUAAAAAUAUUUUCCUUCAUUGUGAUCUUUAGGAGGUGUUUAUAGAGAAACCACCUGGACUUGUUGUGUAGGAGAGAUUGGGUAAAAUAUGUAAGUUUUGAAAGUCUCUUUAUAGCUUAAAACAAAGCCCUCGGGCUUAGUUUGAGAGAUUUAGUGAAGUGAUACUGGUGUUUUGUAUGUAAAAGAGUAAAUGUGAUCAUUCAGUAUUCAAUAGGUAGUUUGAAGCUAGUCUACUUCUACUGAUAUUUUAUGCGGAUGAUAUUUUAUCACUAGGAGUGACUUUAUAAGUAUUUCAUCCCUUGAGUACUUUCUCUAAACCCAAUUUCAAACAAAAAAUUAGGGCCAA